rnacentral:pre_miRNA from 1 species
AAAAAGACAAACCCUGGGUUUUCGUGUCAAACUUUGACUGUCCGUCUUAUAUGAAAUUUUUUUAUAAUUCGUAUUUUUAUUGUUGUUAGAUGAUAAAACAUGAUUAAUAUUUUAUGCGUGACUUGUCUUUUUAAUUUUUUCAUAUUUUUUUUAAAUAAGACGGACGAUCAAACGUUGGACACGGAAAGCAGGGUUUGUCUUUUA